UACGGGGGGAGCAAGCGUUGUUCGGAUUUACUGGGCGUAAAGGGCGCGUAGGCGGUCAGCACAAGUCAGUUGUGAAAUCUCCGGGCUUAACUCGGAAAGGUCAACUGAUACUGUGCGACUAGAGUGCAGAAGGGGCAACUGGAAUUCUCGGUGUAGCGGUGAAAUGCGUAGAUAUCGAGAGGAACACCUGCGGCGAAGGCGGGUUGCUGGGCUGACACUGACGCUGAAGUGCGAAAGCUAGGGGAGCGAACGGG
rnacentral:rRNA from 1 species